rnacentral:lncRNA from 1 species
CACAAAGGCCCGUGCCACUACAAUUCUUGGCGACUGUCAAACAAUAAUAAAUGAAUAUUUUUUUAUUAUUUUUUCUUUCAAAUUGGAGCCAAUAUAUAGAUACAACUACAUCAUAGUAAUAGAAAACAAUCCUAUUCUAAGGAAACUUAAUAUUUCUAUACACAAGAUUUGACAACUGUACACAAUGACAACUAUACAUAAGAUUUGACAACUAUACACGAGAUUUGAUAACUAAUUUAUUUGACAACUAUACACAAGAUUUGACAACUAAUAGAAAUAAUCUGGCA